AGCGAACGCUGGCGGCAGGCUUAACACAUGCAAGUCGAACGCCCCGCAAGGGGAGUGGCAGACGGGUGAGUAACACGUGGGAACGUACCCUUUGGUUCGGAAUAACUUGGGGAAACUCAAGCUAAUACCGGAUAAGCCCUUAUGGGGAAAGGUUUACUGCCGAAGGAUCGGCCCGCGUCUGAUUAGCUAGUUGGUGGGGUAAUGGCUCACCAAGGCGACGAUCAGUAGCUGGUCUGAGAGGAUGAUCAGCCACACUGGGACUGAGACACGGCCAAGACUCCUCCGGGAGGCAGCAGUGGGGAAUAUUGGACAAUGGGGGCAACCCUGACCCAGCCAUGCCGCGUGAGUGAUGAAGGCCUUAGGGUUGUAAAGCUCUUUUACCCGGGACGAUAAUGACUGUACCGGGAGAAUAAGCCCCGGCUAACUUCGUGCCAGCAGCCGCCGUAA
rnacentral:rRNA from 1 species